rnacentral:snoRNA from 1 species
GCAUGGUUAUAAAACUUUAAAGAUGAGAGUGUCCCAUGCCAAAGCAAACUGUAACCCCAAACCAUUGCCUGGCUUUACCCCGUGGGCUUCAGGCUGUGAAGCAGGUUGCACAGUG